UGGGACGUUUUCCGUGCACUCUCACAAAUAAUUAUAUUAACUCAUCUACAUGUUCAUACAUAGUAGUUUUGGCUAUAGUCAAAUACCUUCUAGGGGAAGUUGGAUUCAUGAAAGUACCAGGCCAGGGUUAGGUGAUGGGCAUGUAGCCAUUAACCGGUUUUCCGAGCUCCGACCGCCAAAAACGUCGCGCGUUCUGGAUCUGUACAAUUGUUUAGAAGAAUAAGUCUGUAUUUGUUUAUGUCACACAGCUGUUAUAUCAUAAUAGUGUUAUAUCACAAAAUCGAUAAAUUUUCCUUUAUCGCGAUCAGUUAUCAACACAUAAAGCAAAUGAUAAGCCUAUGGUAUAAGAGACGGUGAAAUCAAAAACUUUGUUCAGAGGCCAAUUUCUGUUUACUGACUGAACACUUUUUGUAUUUUUAUUCGCAAUGCCACCUCCACCACCCGGACCACAUCAUCCGCCACAUGGCCCAGGGGGCCCAGGAGGCCCCGAAGGGCCCGGAGGACCCGGAGGCCCUGGGGGCCCAGGAGGCCCAGGAGGUCCCGGGGGCCCAGGACCUCAUGGACCUCACCACCCACCGCCGCAUCCUCAUUAAAAUUAACAUUAACAUAGGUCCUUGUGCAUGAUUACCUAAUUGAUUAUGCAGAAUAAAUGCUUUAAUAAUUUAUUAGAAUAUUUAUGCUAAAAUAAAUAAUUUAAAAAUA